rnacentral:rRNA from 1 species
AACGUAGGACGCAAGCGUUAUCCGGAGUUACUGGGCGUAAAGCGCGGGCAGGCGGUCGGUCAAGUCUGAUGUGAAAUCUCUCCGCUCAACGGGGAGCAGCCAUUGGAAACUGGGCGACUGGAGUCUGACAGAGGUAGGCGGAAUUCCGGGUGGAGUGGUGAAAUGCGUAGAGAUCCGGAGGAACACCAGAGGCGAAGGCGGCCUACUGGGUCAGUACUGACGCUGAGACGCGAAAGCCAGGGGAGCGAACGGG